UACGUAGGGUCCGAGCGUUGUCCGGAGUUACUGGGCGUAAAGCGCGCGCAGGCGGCGGUGUAAGCAUGGCGUGAAAGCCCCAGGCUCAACCUGGGAGGGUCGUCGUGGACUGCACCGCUUGAGGGCGGUAGGGGCUGGUGGAAUGCCUGGUGUAGUGGUGAAAUGCGUAGAGAUCAGGCGGAACACCCGUGGCGAAGGCGGCCAGCUGGGCCGUCCCUGACGCUGAGGCGCGAAGGCGUGGGGAGCGAAUGGG
rnacentral:rRNA from 1 species